UAGGAUGGAGUGUAUAGGUAGCACGAAGAAUUUUGAAUUCUUAAGUGUAGGUUCAAUUCCUAUUGUCCUAG
rnacentral:tRNA from 1 species